GAAAUAUUACAUAGGUAGUGUCUUUAGGUCUUCUAUCUUAUUUAAGAGACUCUUGUAUAAUGCAAGGUUAUACAAAUAUUCUUCUAAAGUUUCUUAUAAUGCUUUAACUAUUUUAUAUUUUGCAUUUAAAUGAUUAUUGUAUCUGGAAUUAAUUUUAAAAUAUCAUGUGAAGUUGGGCUAUAGUGGCAACCCUCCCCCCUUUUCAGGGACUGGGGGCAUUUUUCUCUCCUAUGUAAUUCUUUCUAGGCUUUCCACAUCACUAGGCCCACAUGCAACAAGUAAGCAGGCAUAGUCUUUCUGGAAGAGGAGCACGGGCACCUGCUUGCUAAUUUCCCUCACUACCAAGAAACCUGAAUCAUCACCAGAGACCCCAAACAUAGGAUUUUGAAAACAACAAAGUAGAUGAGAGCAGAGAAAAGGAGGGACAGAUGCACAAUGGGAGAGAAAGAAAGAACAAAAGGGACAGGAGGGGCAAGAUACAUCUGGCUGUGCCUGAAGCAAGAACUACUGUUGGAUUUUUUACUAACAUGAGCCAAUCACUUCUGUUGACUUUAACCAUCUAUACAAAAUCACAGAAGACUGGCAUAUGGAGGUUAACUCAAGGGAUUUGGGGAGAACUUUCUCCUCCAUUAAAAUUUUGAGAAAGAUAUUUUGGUUUCUGGAAAUUUCUGGAAAAGUCCUCAAAGUUAUUAUUUCCUUACUAUACCUCAGGGUUCUUUCCUAACUUUUUAAGAUGGAUUGAGAAGAGACAGAAUCCUUUCCUAAGAAUCUGAAGAAAAGCCACCUCAGACAGUUUUUCUGAAUGCCAUGUUUUCCAACAUUGAGUUCCAGCACAGAUCUCUUGGGCAUCCAGUAAGAGUAAAUAAGUUCUAAUAUCUUGUCAUCUCUUUAAAGGAUAGAAUACUCCUUAACAGCCAAUAAACACACUUUGUAGUGCUUCCUUAGGUGCUUAGUUUGGGAGGUCAAGACCUGAUCAUUGUCAAAUGUUCUUUUGAAGUGAUUUUAGAUACUAUAUAUACACACUAUAUAUAUGUAUAUGUAUAUUAUAGAUACUAUAUAUAUGUAUCUAGUCAGGGUUUGAAUAAUCAAGGGUAACAAAUUUUGUUUCUUUUGUUCUCUUUGUUUGAAGAAAUGCAAAAAAUGAGUUGGUGUUAGCUGUGCAGCUUGAACCAUCCACCCCCUAGGAAGAAUUUACAUGUUUAAGUAUUGGAUUGGUUGGUAGUGCUUUUAAAAUAUGUGUGUUUGGCUCUGCCACUAUCUCAAGGAAUAGCAGCUGCCUUUAAAUGAAAGGCCUAAUACUUUUUUGACUAAUACCGUAACACCCCAUGGAAAUCCCCAUUAGUCCCUUUGAUGGAGCCUUUCGUGCCAUUCAGUGUAUUCUCUUGCCCUAUUUCCCAGGAUGGAAAUUUGACCUAUCCUGCAUCCAGGAGCCUAACACUGCCACAGAAAGGUUUUCAAAUGCUCUUCAAGUACUAUGCAGAUAACCAGAGGAUAGGUGGAGCUAUGUGCUACAACAUUUUUACUUACCUGAGUGGAUAGGACUUAGAGGUAGAAGGUGCUGACAAUAGACAAUGUACUUAAAUAUCCAUAACCCCCCAUGGACUAUGACUGAAUAGUGCUGGCAUAGAGGAGUAGAACCAAAAGGAUUAACACAGAGAACUGUGUCUUGAUAAUUCCUUUUUUAGGGGAACCUUAGUGUAUGGGAAACCUUGCUACAGCUUUUGUCCAAGAAGUGAUGCCAGGCUGAUAGGAAAGCUAGUUUUACUAAACUAGUACUAGUUUACUAAUAGAGCUUUGUAGUUUCCCUGUAGCCUAACCUAGUAGCUUGGGCAAGCUGUGUUUAAGCCACUGACAUUCGUAAGCUCUGUAAGUAAUAUCUGCAUAAUUUUAUUUAUGGUUAGAGGUGGAGAGACCGAAAAGGUAACAGCUCACCUUUCCCCAGCCCUCCAUUUUGAACAUACUGUCUCCAGGUAUGUGGCUAGUGAUGUAAGGAUAAAUUCCUCUAUUGGAAUAUCUGAGUUAUUAUUCCAGGGAAAAUCAAGAAGCAGAGUUGUGUCUAGAUAAAUAAUGGAAAUAUGUGUUUUCUUAAUUUUCUUUUGUGUAUCUUUGUUUUGCAAUUUUUCCAAGAUGAGUGUGGAUUACGUUUCAGAUAAAAAAAAGUUGUAUUUAAAAUUAAGUUCAACGUUUUCUAGCAACAGUUUCAGCUCCUGUCUCUGACUCUGCUUCUUUCCUCAAAGGAUUGCAAAUGCAAGGAUUUCUAUACCUUAUCUACUCGUUUAAAAACAUUCUUGAGAUCCAUCGCAAGUAGCAGCUGUUAUAAGAACUUUCUACUCCCUUAAACACCUAAUCCCCUGUGACACAUUCCAUUUAUCCUCCUUUUGUGGUGACUACAGCUUUAGCUGCCCCAUGUGGGGAGACUUGCUGGUUUUAUUUCAUUGCUCUGGAUUGCUGCUCUUAGAUUGCUGAAAAAUGAACUUAUUCUAUAGCACUCA